GACGAACGCUGGCGGCGUGCUUAACACAUGCAAGUCGAACGGUGAAGCGCCUUCCUUUUUGGUGGGUGUGGAUGAGUGGCGAACGGGUGAGUAACACGUGAGUAACCUGCCCCCUUCUUCUGGAUAACCGCAUGAAAGUGUGGCUAAUACGGGAUAUUCUGGGUCUGUCGCAUGAUGGGUCUGGGAAAGAUAUUGUUUCGGUGGGGGAUGGGCUCGCGGCCUAUCAGCUUGUUGGUGGGGUGAUGGCCUACCAAGGCGGUGACGGGUAGCCGGCCUGAGAGGGUGGACGGUCACACUGGGACUGAGACACGGCCCAGACUCCUACGGGAGGCAGCAGUGGGGAAUAUUGCACAAUGGGCGCAAGCCUGAUGCAGCGACGCCGCGUGAGGGAUGGAGGCCUUCGGGUUAUGAACCUCUUUCGCCAGUGAAGCAGGCCUGCCUCGUUUGUGGGUGGGUUGACGGUAGCUGGAGAAGAAGCGCCGGCUAACUACGUG
rnacentral:rRNA from 1 species